UACGGAGGGUGCAAGCGUUAUCCGGAUUCACUGGGUUUAAAGGGUGCGUAGGCGGGUAGGUAAGUCAGUGGUGAAAUCUCCGAGCUCAACUCGGAAACUGCCAUUGAUACUAUCUGUCUUGAAUAUUGUGGAGGUAAGCGGAAUAUGUCAUGUAGCGGUGAAAUGCUUAGAUAUGACAUAGAACACCUAUUGCGAAGGCAGCUUACUACGCAUAUAUUGACGCUGAGGCGCGAAAGCGUGGGGAGCAAACAGG
rnacentral:rRNA from 1 species